GGUCAAUUAGUGACCAUUUGGUAAUGUUUGACCACAAAUUGAAGUGAAUUGUGGCAUUAAGACUUGAUUUAGUAUGCUGCCCCUAAUGUGCCAGAAUUAAUGGACUUUAGUCCAGUGUAGUUAGGCUGCAAUAACUUGAUGUGUGUAACUUCAAUUGGAAGUGAAAUUAGACAUAUAAUAACACAACUUUGAUGUAGAAACUCUGUCCAGAAAACCAACUUAAGAUGACCUAAAAAUUGAUCAAAUCCGGAUAAUCAAUUCUGGACCUGGUAAAAGUAACCAAAUGAAUUUGUUCGUUUGGCCAUAACAUUAUGUAGAAAUGUCCAAUUGACCUGAUUUUUAUAUCAAUGGAAAGCUUAGACAAUUUAAAACAACUUCCAUGAGGAAUAUAAACCCAAAUUUUGAUCAUAACCUAAUGAAAUUGUCCAUCAAAGUCAGGAUACAAAACUGCCAGAACCAUUUUCUACCCAGAAAUUCUAAGUAAUGGCCAAUCCAGCCAGCCAUGGGAAAAAUGACAUAACUUGAAU
rnacentral:misc_RNA from 1 species